rnacentral:rRNA from 1 species
UAUCUCUGUAGAGUCUGCAUAUCAAUAAGCGGAGGAAAAGAAACUAACUAGGAUUCCCUUAGUAACGGCGAGUGAAGCGGGAAGAGCUCAAAUUUGAAAUCUUCAAGGUUCUACCUUGACGAAUUGUAGUUUAAAGAAGUGUUUUCUGUUAGAUGAGUAGCAAAAGUUCCUUGGAAUGGGACAUCAUAGAGGGUGAGAAUCCCGUAUUUGGUUAUUCAUUCUAGCUUUGUGAUACACUUUCAAAGAGUCGGAUUGUUUGGGAAUGCAGUCCAAAAUGGGCUGGUAAAUUUCAUCUAAAGCUAAAUAUUGGCGAGAGACCGAUAGCGAACAAGUACCGUGAGGGAAAGAUGAAAAGAACUUUGAAAAGAGAGUUAAACAGUACGUGAAAUUGUCAAAAGGGAAGCGUUUGACACCAGUGUUGUUUUUCUCAAAAAUCAAUUAUAAAAGUGUUUUGUUUCUGAGUAGUGAUGACUUCAUCAGCUUCCUGUACUCUCUUCACUGACUUUUUGUAAUGCACUUUUCGGUUAACAAGUCAACAUCAAUUUCUUUUGUUGUAAAAGAGUAUUCGGAAGGUGGCUUUCACUUUCGGUAGAAAGUGUUUAUAGCCCUAUGACUUCUAGCAAUCGGAGAGAUUGAGGUCUGCAGCGUAGAUCCUUCGGGGUUAGAUACCGUAGAUGCUAAGUUAUAGCUUUCUAUAGACAACUUGUUGACUAUGUUUAGUCAUGCGGCUUACUCGCUUGUGCUAUUUUACCUACGCUUAGGAUGUUGAAGAUGUAGCACAUCAUACACGCAUCUGUGCAUGCAGCAUAUCAAUAAGCGGAGGAAAAGGUACCUACGCUUAGGAUGUUGAAGAUGUAGCACAUCAU